UACGGAGGGGGCUAGCGUUGUUCGGAAUUAUUGGGCGUAAAGGGUGCGUAGGCGGUUUUGUAAGUCUUGUGUGAAAUCUUCAGGCUCAACUUGAAGACUGCACGAGAAACUGCAGGGCUUGAGUGUGGGAGAGGUGAGUGGAAUUCCUGGUGUAGCGGUGAAAUGCGUAGAUAUCAGGAGGAACACCUGUGGCGAAAGCGGCUCACUGGACCACAACUGACGCUGAUGCACGAAAGCUAGGGGAGCAAACAGG
rnacentral:rRNA from 1 species